rnacentral:rRNA from 1 species
AACUCCUACGGGAGGCAGCAGUGGGGAAUAUUGGGCAAUGGGCGCAAGCCUGACCCAGCAACGCCGCGUGAAGGAAGAAGGCCCUCGGGUUGUAAACUUCUUUUAACAGGGACGAAGAAAGUGACGGUACCUGUUGAAUAAGCCACGGCUAACUACGUGCCAGCAGCCGCGGUAAUACGUAGGUGGCAAGCGUUAUCCGGAUUUACUGGGUGUAAAGGGCGUGUAGGCGGGAGCGCAGGUCAGAUGUGAAAACUCAGGGCUCAACCCUGAGCCUGCAUUUGAAACUGUGUUUCUUGAGUGCUGGG